UACGUAGGGGGCAAGCGUUGUCCGGAUUUAUUGGGCGUAAAGAGCGUGUAGGCGGCCUGACAGGUCUGCUGUGAAAACUCGAGGCUUAACCUCGAGAUGUCAUCGGAAACCAUUUGGCUAGAGUCCGGAAGAGGAAAGUGGAAUUCCCGGUGUAGCGGUGAAAUGCGCAGAUAUCGGGAAGAACACCCGUGGCGAAGGCGGCUCUCUGGGACGGUACUGACGCUGAGACGCGAAAGCGUGGGGAGCGAACAGG
rnacentral:rRNA from 1 species